rnacentral:tRNA from 1 species
AGGCCAGUAGCUCAACUGGUAGAGCGGCGGUCUCCAAAACCGGAGGUUGGGGGUUCAAGUCCCUCCUGGCCUGCCA